UGAUGAGUUGCUUCAUUUGGCACAAGCAGAUUCUGCAGGGUCACUUAUUUGCAAUUAUGGCCUUAGCCUUAGGACCUUUUUGCUUGUCAAAAGGAUAAUGAUUAGAGGUGGCAAAAAUUAAUUGGACCCGAAUACAUCCUAAAAUUAUCAUAUCCGGCUGGUUUUGGAUCAAGGGCUUUUCAUUCUGAAGUCAGGUUUCGAUCAAAUUAUUUUGAUAAUCAGAUCUUGUAUGGUUAGAG
rnacentral:lncRNA from 1 species